rnacentral:lncRNA from 13 species
CAUAAUUCCCACCUGUGGAGGGAUGGACCUGGUAGGAGGUGAUUGAAUCCUGGGGGUGGUUUUUCCCCUUGCUGUUCUCGUGAUAGUGAGUGAGUUCUCACGAGAUCUAAUUGCUCUAUAAAUGGCGGUUUCCCCUAGGCGCCUCUCUUCCUUCUACACUGUGAGAAAGAGGCUGGCUACUUCUUCGCUUUCUGCCAUGAUUUUAAGUUUCCUGAGGCCUCCCCCGCUAUGUGGAACUCACUCCCUGAGGAAAAUCACUGAAAAAAAUUUGGUAUUUUUGCACAAGUCCCCUUUCUUGAUGAAAAUGAUUAUGAGAAGUGCAGAUAGUAGAAAAGGACUAAAAGAAAAUCUGGCCCUGAAACUGCCUGUGUACAUCAAAUAUGUUUACUUAUUUAAAGACUCUGAGGAAGAAAGCAUAUGCAAAAUUAACAGCAGGGAGAUAAUGUUCUUAAGAAGAGGUGCAGAUGUCCAGGAAUUUGUAUCUAGCCAAUCACUUUCAGAGGAGAUGGAGAAACAGGGAUGCUAG